UCCUUUCCUCUGCUCCGCUGCCUCUGGUCUGAGCUCAACAUCAAUACAGCUGAUGUCACCACGAGAACAGAGAAGAAGCCUUUAUGUAAAGCAGCUCAUUGAACUGCAGCAUUUUUCCACGAUUACAACUUGAGCAGCGUCCUUGCCACAAAGUCACGGCGAUGGUCUCGACAGUCGACACCCAAAACAAACCCAACGGGACCCAUCAGGAUGGUGAAUGAAGAUGGACGACGUGUCUAACCACAGCUCGGCUUGGUGAUUUUCACAAAGCCUUCCACUGCUCUGCUGGUGCUGUGUCAAAUUUUUGUUUCCCCAACAAUUUGUGACCUGAUGGUGAACCACAGCUAAGCCUCACUUAUGCAGACUCUGCAGCCUCGGCUUCUCCAGUUAGUGUUAACAGCAGUUUGACAGCAUCAGACCUGGUUCCAGCUCGACAGGGACAAUGAAAACAAAUGAAAUCAGCGAAGUCGCCCUCCGGAAGAUGAACAGAGGGAGACAUUCAAAGAAACCGUGAUCUUUAACGAACUACUUAGUAUUAAUGGACACAACCUCGCCACCGGGCAGCCACAAGAAGAAAAGCUCCUCCCUGUGGUAUUGUUUGUCUGUUGUCCAGCCUCCAGCCUGCCCUGUCCGCUGCUCUCUCAACAAUCACAUUGACCGAGGGAUCGAUAGAAUCCUCCAGAGAGAAAAGACCAGACUGAAGCGCUGCCGUCGCUCCGUCCAGACGUGUGCACAAGGUGAUUGUGACAAGGUAAAGUUGUUCUCUCCGGAGGGGUCGAGGGACGAGGGGUGAGUAAUGCCACAGAGGAAGAAGAAGAAGAAGAAGACAGGAGUGGGACCAAAAGAAAACUAGAGCUGCUCUCUGGAGACGAGGAGAGGAAAUAUCAAAUGUGCAGCGAACAAAUGCAGAAUCUAUUUUCAUUGGCAAAGACCAAUGGACGCAUGACAUCACUGACUUUGUUAAUUGUUGGUCAAUUUCUGCAGGAAAGACGUCAGAGGACGCUCUGGACAUGUUUUCACUCAUCAUGACUUCUUUUCCAAACCAACCA